CUGGAUUAAGAGAGCGAUUUAUCAAUAUUAUUAUUGUCAUCGGUAUUAUUUUUCCAUUUAGGAAGUGAUAUGCAUUGUAGUAAGAUACUAUUUUAUAGUAAUAUUUAUAGUAGUAGUAGUAGCCAAGGUGGUAUUAAAUAUAAAAUUAGUGGUACAAUAUGGGUGGCACAUGUGCAUGUGUUAGUAUCAUCAAAUAACCUUAUUCAAAAUUUGAAUUAUAAUUUAGAUUAAAAGAUAGGUACACGUGCAUGUAGCUCUCAACAAUAAUUUGAGCUUGAUAUGGUAAGAAAAUUCUCACCUUUGUCAAACUAGUUGACCGAAUCAUAAGGUGAAGUUAUAGAUUUUAGUUAUUCAUUUGAAUAAUUCAAAAAAAAAAAAGCCACGACAUAGGGUUAGUAGGAGGGGUUGAGUUAGUGUUGGACUAUAUAAAUUCAAGUUAUUACUCUCACAUUUAUUCACUCUCAAAAACCAAAACUAGAUAUCAUUCUCUCUCUCUCACUCAAACAACAUUCUGCCGAAGUCACUUCUCUCUAAAUCCCUUAUUUCAAAAUUCUCUUUGUUUCAUUAAGGGCCAACACCAUUACUGCCAAGAUCAUAUAUAUAUUCUCUUUCCCUUAAUGCUAUCCUAUAGUCAUCUUCUUCAAGUUUACUAGUUAUUUCAAGGACCAAAAGUAUUAUCUCAUAUAUAUAGAUAUCUUUCAUCUUAUCGACGUCACCACCUCUAUUUUCACAAUCAAAUUUUAGUGCUCUGCCAGAUUUCCUUUUCAAUUUAAGGUUUUUCGUAAGACCAUUAUUUCUCAAGGAUCACUCUCAUUACAAUCAAGGCUAGAACUCCACAUUCGAGACCAAAGUAACUAAAAGUCUAGAAUGCCGGUGGCGAGUGGAACUUUGGACGCUUGUGUGUGAACUCGCUGAGGACCAUAUAACUGAGGGCGGUCUAGGGCGCUCUAUUUAUUUAUUUACGCUAUUAAGUUUAUGUCGAAAUUAUUUUAGUUAUUAUUUAUUAUGUCUUUUGUACGAAAACUGGCCAGUUGUGAACAUUUUCAAGUAUUAAAUAAAAAUGCGACAUUACGAUU